rnacentral:tRNA from 5 species
GGGGCCUUAGCUCAAUUGGUAGAGCGCCUGCUUUGCAAGCAGGAGGUCGCGGGUUCGAUUCCCGCAGGCUCCA